rnacentral:lncRNA from 1 species
UUUUUCUUUUCUUUUUUUUUUUUUUUUUUUGGUGAUAUUGUGAAGGAGACCCCACAGCCACAAUACCUGGGAACCUCUACUUAACCUGUUGCCAUCCAAGCGACUUCUAAAAAUGUAAGCACAUAGCUUUUACUUUUGACUAUGUUUUAAUUCUAAAUCGUAUCGUAGGUUUCUGAGACUUUUCAUAAUGGUGUCUGUUAAUUACUUUACUGUCUCUCUCUUUUUUUAAAAAAAAUAAACUUGGAGCUAUAUUUUUACAGAGUAGGAGCACCACCCCGACCUCACCCUCAGAAUCGAGCAGUAUUUAUAGAAAGUAUGCUAACUCAUCAUGAAGAAACCAGGGCCCUGGGGUACCUUGAUGGUACCUGCUUAGAGGCUUCAGCGCCAGCAACGGGCUUGCUUUGGUUUAUUUAUUUAUUUUUCUAUGAUUAAAGUGACCUAGAGAGGUAGGCUCACAGCAUCACACUUGAGCACCCAGCAAAGCUUUCAGAAGCACACACUCGGCUAGAAAAUGUCUCAAGUCUUCAGCUCCUUGAUGGAUAAAGACAGCUACAGACACAAGGAGAGUGUUUUGUGCUCUUGAAAUGUAUUUUAUCAGGUUAUUGGCAGCAGGGCAUAUUUGUCAUGUCUUCCCAGCAGUGUACCCCACCCCCAUCACAGACACCUCUGCUUUGGUUUAUAGAGCUCUAAACCUAUGUCUACCAUAGUUGUGGAAUGCCAAGUAACUGUCCCUUGCAGUUUUCUUUUUAAUUUUUUUUUUUAAAUAUCACUUCUUCUAGUACAGUCCUAGGACAUGAACCUCGGGGGCAGAGGUACCUCCAUAGCUGGGACCCGAGCCCUCCUUCUUUUGCCUUGCUGUGGUACCUUAAAGGAUUUAUUUUGAAAGUAAAGAAGAACAACUAUACAUCACUCCACUUAUUAAAUAAUGCCCUCUUGACAUCUAAGACCUUUCGUAGUCUUUAUUUAGAUAUGGCCGCCAGCCAUGCCUGUGCUAACCUCUUGGAUGGGGAGGGAAUCCAUCUUCUAACGGGCAGUCACAGGUGUCUCUUGGAGAAUGUGCCAAGGAGAUCUGCCUGAAAGCCCCUUUUAAAUGAACAGAUUUU